rnacentral:misc_RNA from 1 species
CCUUGUAUCUUUUUGAUAUUAGGAGUUUGGGACACUACUGCCAUCGCAACCUCAUCAAACAAUUUCUGUCUUUCAACUUCUUGCACAAGCUGUUUUACCAUUGUGGUUUUACCCACACCACCAAUUCCACAUAUACUGAUCAUGCUAAGCUUGUCAUCCUUCAAGGCCUCCCAGACUUCAUUCUUUAUUGAUUCCCUUGAUUCAAAAUCCCUAAUACCUUCAGUUAUGAAGGUUGAUCCUAUCUUUGGUGGAGGACCAGGAUGGGUUAUUUCAUCGAAUUUUGCAGCUUCUUGGAGCAGACCAAGAACCUUUUUUGUCAUCUCCUUAGCUUUCCUACUCAAGGAAUAAAGCGACUUUGGAUCUGGACACAGCCCAUUCAAACACUUGUUGAUCACUUCGAUAUCAUUUUCAAGAAAUUCUUUGCCCUUUUGAUUGAUGUCAUCCACCUCCUUUUGCCACCGAAUUACAGACUCAGCAAUAAUUUCCAAGUUCCUUUCGGCCUCAUCCACACGUGGGUCCACCUCAGUUGCCUUCUUAUCAACCAGUUUCUGAAGCUCCUUUUCCAGAUUUUUUAUGUUUGUAUUAUAGGAAAUUAGGUGGCCAAUCAGUCGAGCAAUAGAAGACAACAAGGUUUUUGCAAUUUCACCAAUUGUAAUAACAUACUCCAUUCUGUCACCCUUUCUCUAUAUCUAGAAUACACCUUGAUCUCCAUUUCAAAAUGGAGGAUUAGGCUCUUGUAGCUCUUAACAUGUUAUCUAGAAGCCUUUAAAAUUCUGUCAAAAUUUUGGCAACACCUACCCUAAAACAGGACUGUUCCCCUGUUAAAAACAAGAACAACGAUAUAUAUUACAAUUCCUUAACAAAAAGGAACUCAAUCUCAACAUGCAACAACAAAUUUUAAAAAUGCUCAUCUAAGCCUACAAGUUAAAGUCUACAUCCUUCAUCAACAAAUUACAAGUCCACAGUACAUAAGUCCACAGCUCCCAAGGAUGGAUAAUUCUCCAAGUCCAGUUUGGGUCCAAGUUAGGGUAUUCAUAACUUUAAACUUGACCCAUGGGAAAAACCCAAAAUGAUCCUCAUUUGAGUUAUUUACUAUCCACACAUAAAUUAAUUAUGAAUGAAACAAACAUUUAUAUAGCAAAAAGGAUAACUAAAAUCUAUUGCAGAAAGUUAAAUACAAAAAGACAAAAAUUAAGAAAAACAAAAUUAAACAAAGAGAAAUUUAACAAAUGUUUCAAGUCCCUCAAAUUAAUAUAUAAGCACAAAGAACUGAUUUAAAAAAAUAAAGUAAAAAAACUCCUUUCAUUGACUUGAAUCUACCAUUAACUCUAUAAUCAUACAUGCACUGCAAUUUCACAAAAGAGCCACAUUAUUCAUGCACUAAUAAAUAAGUCCAAAACACAAAUGUGACUGGCCCCUUGAUAAGGUCUCUGACUGCCUAAUACCUAGAUUAUUGAUGACAAGAAUGAAAGGAUAAAAAAAAAAGGCUUCAAAGAGCCAAAUCUAGCCUGAAGAUGCUUUAACAAGGACUCCCUCUCAAACUAAAACAAUCAGUUUAAAAAAACGCAAGGUGAUAACCAUAAUUACUAAGCAGCCAUAACCUAAUACACCAAUCCUCUUCUUCAUGAAAGAUCACAAAGCCUGCCGGUCAUAAAAUAAUGUAGAAAAGUCCAUCAAUCCAAACCAAUAUUACAUGAAAAAUUGCAAAAUGCUGUAAAUUUAAAUUUCCAACACUUUAUUAAAGAAAAAUUAUGCUGCAUUACCAUAAUAGAAAAAAUAUUAUCAUCUUUAAGUAUAACCAUCAUUAUAAUGUGUGUAUUAGUGACGUCAGUGAAAGAGAGAUAAAGACAGACCCAAACUAUAUAAAUUUUCAAUCCUAAUAGAUCAUGAACAAAAAUCUGGUAGGCUACCCACACAAACAAAGGUAUGAUGGUGAUUAAGCUGCUAUAUUUCACAAACACUAUGCGAUUUUCGAAAUUGGUACAAUCAAUAAAAAUCUAUUUAACAGGUCAUUUCAAUGGUUGUAAAAUGGAAGUUAAACCACAUAUGUUCAUGUAAUGUACAUAUAUUUUCACAUUUUCAUACAAGAAGAAAUGAAGAAUUUUAAAAACAAACAUGAAAUUCACUAGCAUAGUCAUGGCAACCAGAGUGAUGUCUCAACCUUUCACCUCCAUCAAUGACUCCAAUCACGGUAGCAGAGAAAGAAUUUCAAGAUGAUAGAAAACUGAUUGCAAAAUUCACAGAUUAGAAUUCUCUGGUUUUAUCGCAACUAGGUCAACAGUAUUAAAGGGAGGGAAAUUUUGCAUACACAUGGAAAAUCAAUAACACUGCAAACUACGAUUUGUAGAACAACCAAAAUUAAGAAAAUCAAAAGGAACUAAUAUAUGAAAUUGACCAAAAAGGUGCGAAGGAAGAGGACAUUUGAGCAACAGAUAAUACAGUAUACGAUUUUUAAGAAAUGUGAUCUCCUUUCUCCAAAAUAAAUAAAUAUAUCUAAUAGAGGGAGAUCAAAUAAGCUUAAACAAGAUAAAUGGGUUACAAACUUUUACUAAUUGAGUUUAGAAGGCACGUCAAUGGAGCUUUGAAGAACGAAAUUAGGCUUUGCAACCUCCAAAAUUGUCUUCUUUGGGUCUGAAUCAGAAGAGAGGCAACCAAAAUUUUGCAUCAAAAGCUUUUAUUACCAUAAGAAAUAGGCAAGAGACAAUAGUAUGUCCCCUUCUCUUCACUGAUUUUGCGUUUUUUGGCAAGUUGAAAACAAACUCUGUUUAAUCAAGGCUAGGAGAGAAGGAUUGGAAAGGGUUUAAUCAAAGCAAGAAAAUCAAAACUUAUAAUGGAUUUAUCAAACAAGCGUGUGUCUGCUUGAUUAGCACAAUGAGAGGAUCAUUGAGUGCAGAAAAAUCAACCAUACACAAAAAGGCAAGAAUUAAAGACAGACAAAUAGACAAUACCUAAGAGAUGUGUCAAAAAGAUCGUUCAUUUCAAUGCAGGGUCUUUGUCCAUACUUGCAAAUUGAAAUAAAUAACAUAUAGAAUGAUUUAAUUUAAAUAUAGAAUAAAUUACAAUUAAGGCUCCGUUUGUUUCAAAGAAAAUAAUUUGUCUGUGGAGUUUGGAAUUAACUCCAAGAAAAAAGAAAUUCGGUGGUCUAUGGAUAGAAAAUUUGGAUUUUGGAAUCAAACUUCUAGAAUGGCAUACCAAGUGUAUGACAUUAAACCCAAAAUAAAUAAAUAAAUAAAU